rnacentral:lncRNA from 1 species
GCUUGUCUUGCUUGCUUAAGUCAGUUCUUUUUAAAUAAUCAGUGUUCAUUCAUUGUUUUCCUCUCAUGAUGUAACCUUAUUUUGUGUAAACAUAUUUCCCCGUGGCCCUAGCAGUGGUAACAGGCCCUUUGCUACUACCAGGAGGAUAGUAAUAUCCUUUGGUAUUUCAAAGCAUAUUUCAAUAGAUUUCCUGCACCCUAAAAAUAGUUUCAUAAAUAGCUCCUCUGUGGCCUGUAGGGAGACAACAUUAAGGUUAGUGUUCCGUAGAAAGUCCCGCCACCCUCCCCCCAGGCUUCCUGACGUCAGGAGGAAAACCCUCAGGCCCUGCUCUGUUCUGCCCGACAACAACCAGAAGCCAAUCAUCGCAGCAGAAAAGCCCACCAAGCCCCGGCCUAUCCUGAACCGACACAUAACCCUCUGAGCUACCUCAGCAGUCUGCCCAGAGACGGACAGCCUAUCCUAAGCUGCUACGACACUCCGCCAGCCCUGUGUCCAUGCCCCGUCCACCCCCCUAUAAAAACCCUCCUACCCCAGCUAUGCAGUCGCAGCCAGCCCAGAUCUCCUUCCUUUCCUGGCCUGCCCGCUGGUCCCAAUAAACCUGAACUCAGCUUCCAACUCUCGAGCUGUUACUUGGGAUCGGGUACAAGACAGGGGUCUACAAGGGGGUCGUACAUUUGGUGCCGAAACCCGGGAGCGAGGGUCACUAGCCCCCCUAGCGACCCCCUCCCUCCAGCGACCUCUCCAGCCCUCCUCCAAUUCGGCCUCAGCACUCCGGACCAGCAGCGGAGUGUCUGCAUUAGAAACCUCCACAUGAAGGACGUUCCUCAACACCAUGUGACAAAUUCUAGAGGAAUGAUUUUCUGGAAAUUUCAGCAGUGCAUCUCCACUGUGAUUGCUCUGUCAUUCAGUAAGCAAUAGCCUUGCCAUCUCCAAGAUGUAUCUUCAGUCUUAUAUCUUUGAACUGCAGGCAAAGACUCUUCUAUAGCUCAAUCCUAUGGGGAAUGAUUACUCUUACAUCUGUUACUUCAAUAAUUUUUGGAGGUAUGCUUACUUCUUACUAACCAAUUUAUCAUAACUUCAACUCCUGUUGUAGUUAACAGAUUUUUACAAUAAACUGUUUAAACACUGUGGUUACCAUCUCUGAAUUGGUCAUAGAUGUAUAUAUAUAAUAACUUACAUUGAUUGAU